AGCAACUACAUAACGAAGUUGGUGCUUUUAUCUAAAGUAUAUUAAUACAGUGCUAAUGAAGAGGUAUCCGUUUGCUGAAUUUCAUGAUUGAUGGGUGCAGACUAACCAAAGAUUAAAAUGGGAUUUUACAACAGUGUAGAGAUCGUUUCAGGAAUUGAUGGUCGUGCCAUUACAGUGGUCGAAUGCAGAAGUUGCAUCACGAUCUCUCAUUAUCUUACAGUAACGAGCAAUAAAAAACUAUGUUCAAUAUUUGCCUGAAGAGAGAUAGGACUGCUGCAGACAUGGCUCCUAUAACAUUUGGAAUAUUAACCAUUAGCGAUUCCUGUGCUGCUGGUUCUGGCGAUAAUAAAAGUGGACCCGAAUUGGAAAAGCUCGUGACCGAUGUACAAACGGAAACGGGAAAGAUCCUCAAAGGUCAAAUCGCGUGUAUUAAUGUUGUACCUGAUGAAGAAUUUCAAAUAAUAGAAACAUUGGCCAGGUGGUCCGACGUCAUCAAAGUCAACGUCAUUCUGACAACUGGAGGAACUGGUUUUGCACCAAGAGACGUUACACCGGAAGCUACGAAGAGUGUGAUCCAGAAAGAAGCGCCUGCGAUUUCUCUGGCUAUGUUUAUGGCGAGUUCUAAAAUAACUCCAAUGGCUAUGCUCUCAAGAGCUGUCUGUGGAAUACGUGGUAAAACAUUGAUAAUCAAUUUACCUGGUUCACCCAAAGCAGUGAAAGAAUGCCUGGAAGCCAUUGCUAAAGUAAUUCCGCAUGCGGUAGAUUUGAUUUUGGAGAAUAAGGCAAAAGUUACAAAAACACAUGAAAAAGUUCAGGGUACUUGUACACAUCAUUCCUCCAGUGCAAUACCUGAUGUAUCACAGAUUCGAUUAUCCGACAUAGCCGGUCGGCUAAGAGAAUCUCCAUAUCCGAUGCUCUCGAUGGACGUGGCUGAUGAGAUCAUUAAUAAAAUUGCAAAAAUUGGAGAAGAUGAGAUCAUUAACGUAUGGGAUGCUUAUGGACGAGUCUUGACCACUGAUACUUAUUCCUAUUGCAACCUACCCCCAUUUAGAGCUUCAAUCAAGGAUGGCUAUGCCGUUAUUGCCAGUGAUGGAAAAGGUCGUAGACGUGUAUUAAGUGGUGUGCAAGCUGGACAAACCCCAACUACCCAGCUCGUACCUGGCGCAUGCAUCAGGGUCAAUACAGGAGCUCCUGUUCCAGAAGGCACUACUGCAGUGGUCCAGGUCGAGGAUACUAUAUUAAUAGAGAGGAGAGAAGAUGGCGAGGAAGAAAAGGAAAUAGAAAUACUUGUUGAGCCUCAAUAUGGUCAAGAUAUCAGACCUAUAGGUAGCGACAUUAGGAAGGGCAGUUUGAUUCUGAAGGCUUAUACCAGGAUCGGUGCCGUGGAAAUGGGGAUCCUGGCCGCAUGUGGCUGUACAAAAGUCCGGGUGACGAAACUUCCGUCAGUUGGCGUUUUAUCCACCGGAAAUGAAUUGCAACAAGCUGGUGAGCCAGCAAAACCCGGUCACGUGUAUGACAGCAAUAAAAUCACUUUGAUGAUGCUAUUGAAAGAGAAUGGUUACGAUCCUAAGGAUAUUGGUAUAGCCACUGACGACGAAGGAGUCAUGAUAAAUGCCAUAAAAGAAGCUUUCGAGAAUGUUGAUGUCCUAGUGACCUCAGGUUCAGUUUCUAUGGGGGACAGAGAUAUGCUUAAACCAAUUUUGGAGCAGAUAUUCAAAGCUAAGAUACACUUUGGGCGAGUCAAUAUGAAACCUGGAAAACCAACGACGUUCGCUACUUGUGAAUAUCGUGGAAAAACAAAAUACAUUUUGUGUCUUCCUGGAAAUCCUGUUUCUGCGACUGUCACUGCAUAUUUAUUUGCUCUGCCACUGUUGGGUCGUUUGUCUGGUAAUUACACGAAACCAGUUGUUGUUACUGCAAAACUUACGUCGUCUUAUAAUUUGGAUCCGAGACCAGAAUAUGCUAGGGCAAUAUUGGAAUGGAGCGCCAAUGAUCCAAUUCCUGUAGCUUACAGUACAGGAAAUCAAAUAAGCAGUAAAUUAUUGAGUUGCAAAAGUGCAAACGCAUUGUUAAUCCUACCUGGACGAACAGCCGAACGUCCUGAAUUAAAAGAGGGAGAUUUAAUUCAGGCAAUGUUACUGGGAUUCAAUCAGAAUAUCCGUUCGAUACUAACCCUUGGAAUUCAGAAAUCCUGGCAAAGAGUAUUUAGAAGUACUGGAAGUUGCCCAAAAUUGCGUGCGCGCGAAUUAGUUGCGCAGUACUUGGCGAGUGGCGGGAGCGCUCAAGGCAGUGCCCGGAAUAGGAGCGCUCAAUCUUCCUCGAGCUGUUCUCUUGGAAGCACCCCUCUUAUCCAUUUUCAAUCUUUAUCUUGUUCCAUAUUUAUUUCUUUUUUACUUCCUUAUUUCUUAACGAAUGGACGUGUAUCUGCAUUACUAACGUACCUACAUUUCAAUAAUAGUUUUCUUUAAUAUGUCCGUGAUCGCAGCGUGGCUUGAUUAAAGAAACAAUAAAUAAAAAUCGUUCGCGAGCUCAGUAUUUCAUGGCUGCGAGAGCCCACGUGCCCGCAAAGGGCGUAGUGCAUUUUCGGUGCAAUUUCAUUUCGGUGUGCUGUUCAGGCAGCAUGGCGAGGAGUUGGAAAACAUAUUUCUGUUGUUAUUCCAAUCGAAGGUUUGCUUAGGAUAUACGUUUGACCAUUCACAAACGUGGAACUGGUUCGAGGCUCCUCCAACUAGAUAGCACGUCGACACCAGAAUACACACGCUUUAGAGUGUCACCCGGUAUAAUCCAUGGGUCUUACGGAGCUCAGGAAUAUGACGCGUAGUAUUACUAUAUAUACUCGACCAAUCCAAAACUUGAGACUGGUUCGAGAACCCUUCGCGUAGCCGGCGCGUCGACGCCGAAAUCAAAUUUGGACCAUGAAAAUCGUAACAGGUGUUUAAGCAUGUUCCUAAAAUCGCACUCUUCCUGAGUUCCCUAAGUAUAAAUUCCUAGGAUAGCCGAGCGAUGCCACUGCUGCAGACAUUUCGAAUAAAUUUCCAGCGACUGUUUUACCAGCUGAGAACUAUCGUCGUGCACUCUGUGCCGCGUUCCGGAACGCAUGACAGAGGGCCUGGGAGGGAGAACCGCCAGCGAGAAAAUGGCCGAUGGGGUUACGGGAAAAGGGCAGGGACGUCGAGUGGUACGAGUUUCGCAACUGAAAAUGCGAUUUUCGCGGUAACCCGUGAGCAUCGACGGUCAAUUAACACGGGGGGAGUCGACGGUGCGUUCGGUUCAACGUGCAGGCUUAUUAAAAGUACGCGAGGUUCAUCCGGUGGUAAAUAAUCGUCGUUCAAAAGAGCGUUCGCGGUUCGAGUGGCAACAAAAGGGCUUGCCAGAGGUAAACACAAUCUUACCUUUUCGUCAAGUCUCGCGAACCUAUUGCUUUUUUUAUUAAACAAGGACUAACAGUGACAAAGCAUUCUUCAAACGUGCCAUACAUCCUGCGUUUACCAAGAUACUUUGAAGGUAACGAAACUCAAUAUGGCGGUCAGAUAAUUGUGAAGACAUAGUUGAGAUCUUAUUGAACUUCACGUGUCCUAAAAUCGGGCCAAAGAUGUGAAGAGAGGCGGGUC